rnacentral:tRNA from 1 species
GCGGGGGUCUCCAAGCCAGGUCAAAGGAGCAAGGCUUAGGACCUUGUCGCGAAGGCGUUCGUGGGUUCAAAUCCCACCUCCCGCA